UACGUAGGGGGCAAGCGUUGUCCGGAAUUAUUGGGCGUAAAGAGCGUGUAGGCGGUCCGGUAAGUCAGCUGUGAAAGUCAAGGGCUCAACCCUUGAAAGCCGGUGGAAACUGUCGGGCUAGAGUACGGAAGAGGCGAGUGGAAUUCCUGGUGUAGCGGUGAAAUGCGCAGAUAUCAGGAGGAACACCAAUUGCGAAGGCAGCUCGCUGGGACGUUACUGACGCUGAGACGCGAAAGCGUGGGGAGCAAACAGG
rnacentral:rRNA from 1 species